GUCAGGGUAGCUCAGCUGGUUAGAGCACUGGAUUCAUAACCCGGAGGUCGGGAGUUCAAGUCUCCCCCCUGACACUA
rnacentral:tRNA from 1 species